GAAAAUGCAAUGAAGAGGAGUAGUAGAAUCCUGGAGAUGUUCAGAGAACUGCCGGUUGGUGUGAGACAGUGAUUGAGAGGAUUUGAACUCGCCUUGGAGCAGCCCGCUAAAAGAUACGACGUUACACAGUAGCGUUGAGCGUAUCGAGUAGGAUGGGACGGAGGCUGGCCGUUAUAGCAGAAGGAUAUAAGAUAUGUAAAAGAUAUGUAUUUGAGUUGUAUAAGAUCUGCAUGUCUGUAUCUGUAACGAGAGCAUAUUUUGUAAUUAUUAUGAAGUAUGAAAUAGAGUGGUACCGCGUAACUUACGUCUCUAUA
rnacentral:ncRNA from 1 species